GCCUAACCAUAAACUUUGACCAAUCCGCCAGAGUACUACGAGCAACAGCUUAAAACUCAAAGGACUUGGCGGUGCUCUACACCCACCUAGAGGAGCCUGUUCUAUAAUCGAUAAUCCCCGAUAAACCUCACCAUCUGUUGCCAAUACAGCCUAUAUACCACCGUCCAGCCCGCCCUCCAAAGGAUAAACAGCAGGCACAACUAUAAACAUAAAAACGUCAGGUCAAGGUGUAGCACAUAAGAUGGGAAGAAAUGGGCUACAUUUUCUAACCUAGAAAACACGAAAGAGUUUGUGAAACAAAACUCCAAAGGAGGAUUUAGCAGUAAAAAGAAAAAAGAGCGUUCUUUUUAAGCCGGCAAUGGAGCGCGC
rnacentral:rRNA from 1 species